GACAGGGAGGCCUGGCGUGCUGCCGUCCAUGGGGUCGCAGAGAGUCAGACACGAUUGAAUCCCCAGAUCACGGAGGCAGCGCUGAGGGAGACCACGGCCAGGGUGAGCCCUCAAAAUCACUCUCAAGUUUGCAAGAUGAAUGGAACCCGGGCGGAGCGCUCAGCUGCACCUCGCAGACACGCCCUGCUCCUUCCCAGAUGUGCCUGUGUCUUAUCUGGUCUUCACGAAAGCAGAAGACUCCCCGGGUGCCCCGCCCAGGGCGUUCCGGUUUCGUUGGGAGCAACCUGACAAUUCAAUCACUGCAGACUGUGUGUCCAUAUUCCACAUAUAAAGGGGAAGUGAAAGCGGAAGUCGCUCAGUCAUGUCUGACUCUC